GGAGGAAAAGAAACCACCAGGGAUUGCCUCAGUAGCGGCGAGUGAAGCGGCAAAAGCUCAAAUUUGAAAUCUGGCGUCUUUGGCGUCCGAGUUGUAAUUUGAAGAAGGUAUCUUUGGGCCCGGCUCUUGUCUAUGUUCCUUGGAACAGGACGUCACAGAGGGUGAGAAUCCCGUGCGAUGAGAUGACCCGGGUCUGUGUAAAGUUCCUUCGACGAGUCGAGUUGUUUGGGAAUGCAGCUCUAAGUGGGUGGUAAAUUCCAUCUAAAGCUAAAUAUUGGCGAGAGACCGAUAGCGAACAAGUACAGUGAUGGAAAGAUGAAAAGAACUUUGAAAAGAGAGUGAAAAAGUACGUGAAAUUGUUGAAAGGGAAGGGCUUGAGAUCAGACUUGGUAUUUUGCAUGUUGCUCUCUCGGGGGCGGCCGCUGCGGUUUACCGGGCCAGCAUCGGUUUGGAGCGGCAGGAUAAUGGCGGAGGAAUGUGGCACGGCUUCUGCUGUGUGUUAUAGCCUCUGACGAUACUGCCAGCCUAGACCGAGGACUGCGGUUUUUACCUAGGAUGUUGGCAUAAUGAUCUUAAGUCGCCCGUCUUGAA
rnacentral:rRNA from 1 species